rnacentral:rRNA from 1 species
UCGGGGCCAACCUCCCACCCGUGUUGCCCGAACCUAUGUUGCCUCGGCGGGCCCCGCGCCCGCCGACGGCCCCCCUGAACGCUGUCUGAAGUUGCAGUCUGAGACCUAUAACGAAAUUAGUUAAAACUUUCAACAACGGAUCUCUUGGUUCCGGCAUCGAUGAAGAACGCAGCGAAAUGCGAUAACUAAUGUGAAUUGCAGAAUUCAGUGAAUCAUCGAGUCUUUGAACGCACAUUGCGCCCUCUGGUAUUCCGGAGGGCAUGCCUGUCCGAGCGUCAUUGCUGCCCUCAAGCCCGGCUUGUGUGUUGGGCCCCGUCCCCCCCGCCGGGGGGACGGGCCCGAAAGGCAGCGGCGGCACCGCGUCCGGUCCUCGAGCGUAUGGGGCUUCGUCACCCGCUCUAGUAGGCCCGGCCGGCGCCAGCCGACCCCCAACCUUUAAUUAUCUCAGGUGACCUCGGAUCAGGUAGGGAUACCCGCUGAACUUAAGCAUAUCAAUAAGCGGAGGAAU